rnacentral:rRNA from 1 species
UACGUAGGGAGCAAGCGUUGUUCGGAUUUACUGGGCGUCAAGGGCGCGUAGGCGGCGCGGUAAGUCACUUGUGAAAUCUCUGAGCUUAACUCAGAACGGCCAAGUGAUACUGCAGUGCUAGAGUGCAGAAGGGGCAAUCGGAAUUCUUGGUGUAGCGGUGAAAUGCGUAGAUAUCGAGAGGAACACCAGUGGCGAAGGCGGCGACCUGGGCAGAUACUGACGCUGAGGUGCGAAAGCGUGGGGAGCAAACAGG